rnacentral:lncRNA from 1 species
AAAAGAGGGAGACUCCAGUUGCACCAGGAACACCUCCUCCAUCUCAUAAGGAAAUUCCACUGACGGAGGUAUCUGCAGUGCCUUCUCUUCACAGCAAAGGCUCAGAGAAAAACAUUUUAGGUGGAAGUAAUUUGCUAAGACCUUCACCGGCCAGCAGAAACAGGACGGCACGGCAUGAUAUGAGGUCUCAAUCGCUGUCGUCUUCCAUGAAAGACAAUACUGUAAAGAUGACUUUGCUCAGAAGAGGCAAUGCCAAGCAGAGUCAAGUGUCAAAUGGAAGUGGUGGAAGUGAAAUAAAAUCAUUAGAUGACUUAUUUUCAAAAGCAGAUGACGUGGAAGAUUCAACUAGCAUAAGCUCAAAUGACUUCAGGCAGAAUAUCCUGAGCCUUGAUGAUUUAGCAUCAGGUAUCAGCGAGAUGGCAGAAUUAAAGCAGCAAGU